GAUGAACGCUAGCUACAGGCUUAACACAUGCAAGUCGAGGGGCAGCGGUAUCGAAAGCUUGCUUUCGGUAGCCGGCGACCGGCGCACGGGUGAGUAACGCGUAUCGAACCUGCCUCAUACUCGGGAAUAGCCUUGCGAAAGUAAGAUUAAUGCCCGGUGUUUUCAGAGUCCCGCAUGAGGCUUUGAACAAAGAUUUAUCGGUAUGAGAUGGCGAUGCGUCCCAUUAGCUUGUUGGCGGGGUAACGGCCCACCAAGGCAUCGAUGGGUAGGGGUUCUGAGAGGAAGGCCCCCCACAUUGGAACUGAGACACGGUCCAAACUCCUACGGGAGGCAGCAGUGAGGAAUAUUGGUCAAUGGGCGGAAGCCUGAACCAGCCAAGUAGCGUGCAGGAAGACGGCCCUCCGGGUUGUAAACUGCUUUUAGUUGGGAAUAAAACGGGGCUCGUGAGCCCCCUUGCAUGUACCAUCAGAAAAAGGACCGGCUAAUUCCGUG
rnacentral:rRNA from 1 species